ACGCUAUUGCAAAAUUUGUAAUAGAUUAACAAACUUUUUGAAAACAUUUGAUAUAUGGGAAAUGCCUUCGACCCUUGUGGUCUGUCAUGACAGAGAAGGAUAUAAUUUCAAGAAAACAAAGGAUGCAAAAUUGGAGUUAACGUUUACACUUUCAAAAUUCUGUCACAGAGA